CUUCUCUGAAAGGGUGGUCAGGCACUGGAAUGGGCUGCCCAGAGAGGUGGUGGAGUCACCGACCCUGGUGGUGUUCAAGGAGCAUUUGGAUGUUGUGAAAUACUACUUCUCUGAAAGGGUGGUCAGGCACUGGAAUGGGCUGCCCAGAGAGGUGGUGGAGUCACCGACCCUGGUGGUGUUCAAAGAGCGUUUGGAUGUUGUGUUGAGGGACAUGGUUUAGCGAGAACCAUUGGUGAUGAGUGAAUGGUUGG
ensembl:lncRNA